rnacentral:rRNA from 1 species
UAAGGAAUCUUCCACAAUGGACGAAAGUCUGAUGGAGCAACGCCGCGUGCAGGAUGAAGGCUUUCGGGUCGUAAACUGCUUUUAUAUGGGAAGAUUAUGACGGUACCAUAUGAAUAAGGACCGGCUAACUACGUGCCAGCAGCCGCGGUAAUACGUAGGGUCCAAGCGUUAUCCGGAAUCACUGGGCGUAAAGCGUGUGUAGGUGGAUUAAUAAGUGAGAUGCGAAAUCCUGUGGCUCAACCAUAUGGACUGUAUCUCAUACUGUUAGUCUUGAGGAUGGCAGAGGCAAGUGGAAUUACCGGUGUAGCAGUGAAAUGCGUAGAGAUCGGUAGGAACACCAAUGGCGAAGGCAGCUUGCUGGGCCACACCUGACACUGAGACACGAAAGCGUGGGGAGCGAACAGG